UUUUAUAAUUCUCCGCGGCGCGUCAUUCCGACGCUAGAAGGAACCGCCGGCUAUAAAAACGCAGGAGAUGCAAUCCUCCUUCGGUUUCUUCUUCAUUCAGAGUUCGAUCGAGGCUUCGUCCAGGGUUAGGGUUCAAGAGUUCAGAGCCAAAGGUCAGGGAAUCACUGAAACCUUUCCUGAGCUAGAAGCUAAGAAUGGUGAUGCCUCCCUCAUCUCAGAGACCAUUACUGAGGAGGAAUGAAAAUUACUAGAGGCUUGAGAGAAAGAAGAGGUCGAGGUCAAGUAGGACGGACCGUGAUUUCGUGUUCGAAAAGUUGGACGAGCUGCUCACGCCACCCUGACUCUACUCUGAACUUUUGCUCCAGAAAAUAGUUGACAUCAUCACAGCAGUAAGCAUUUUAUUAUCCUACUUUAGCUUGUGCUUAUGUGUUGCAACUGUCUGUUGUUGUAUCAGAACACUGCAGUGGACGUGAAGAAGAAGAUAGUCUGAUAAGAGUGGUUCAAGUUUCAAAGUACAACACCGUAAGCUGUUCAUAUUGUAAAAAAGAAGGAUGUCGAAAGAGGCAUCUAGCAGUUUGAAGGAUGCCGUUUUGUAGUCGUGUGAGGGAAAUUGUUAUGUCAGCAGUAUUAACAACAUUCACUAAAUUGGUCUUAUGACAUAUUCUCGUGAGGCGACUGUUCAUACCCAGGAAUAGUUGGAUCUGUCAGUUAAGUGUGAAAAAAAGAUUCAUACUCGUGUUAUGAUUGGAUUGAGCUCAAAAAUGGCAAGCAGGUUUCUUCAUUCCAAGGCUUUAUCAUUACAUUCAGGUGGCAUAUGCUAAUUUCUCUUUCUAACUCAUAAGCGGGUUGUACUGGUCAAGUCCAGGUUUCGGUACGGGGUUGGGUCCGGACGAUAUGUUGUUCCAUCGGUUCGGUUCGGUUCAGUUCUAUCGGUUGGUUUGGUUUGGGAUUGAGAAUGUGGCUACCUGCAUCACAAUGCUCCUGCCUGCAGGGAAGGAGCUCCCGCUGUUCUCUAUUCCUUGGCUGGCACACCUGAGCUUGCUUGGGCUGAAGCUAAGCAUGAUUCUUGGUAAGUACAUGUUGCAUUGGACUGAAGUCGUGAGGAAAUAAUAGCAUUAUGGCUGUUGCAAAUCAGCAAAAUGCCAUCACUUAAUGAUUCUCAAUGAGGGCCUUCAUACAGAAAACUCCCAAUAAUGUGGAGAUAAGGUUGAAAAGUCUUUCGACCUCGACGGCUCGAUGAAUGUAAAAAGUCCCUUUUCGGAAUCCUAGACUUCAGCUACUGACACAUGCUUGUUGAUGCAGCCGAACAAGCAGGGGUAACAAUACUUAGCAGUGAAUUGAUUGGUUGGAAUAUUUUUGUUUGGUUUCAGGUAUUAUUUGUGUUUUCAUGCAUUUCUUUUCUUUCUAUAUGGAUGAAUUUGGAUGCUCUUGUACGGUUCAAGAAAUUUCUAGGUUCAUGUGGUAUAGUUUGUUUAGGUUCAGCUUGUACGGUAUCCGAUAUUAGUUGUAUGGCUUCAGGUUAUUCAUCUUGUAGGGUUUGAGAAAUGUAUAUAUUGUAUCAAACAAGUAUAUAUAAUGUAUCAGUUUGUUCAAGUUAAAUUCAUUUAAGACAUUA